GCGGGCCUGAUGAAACCUAUUCUGCGCCUAGCUUAGAUUUGAGUCGUUUCAUACCAUUUAGAAAGGGGUGGAAACA
rnacentral:sRNA from 2 species